AACAGGGGCGCUGGAGGGCAUCUCCGGCUGAGAUCGAAGCAAACAGCAGCUUCGGGUCACCUUGAACCUGAUCCGGAUAAUGCCGGCGUAGGAAGUUUGA
rnacentral:ncRNA from 1 species